GAUAAACGCUGGCGGCGUGCCUAAUACAUGCAAGUCGAGCGAACGGACGAGAAGCUUGCUUCUCUGAUGUUAGCGGCGGACGGGUGAGUAACACGUGGAUAACCUACCUAUAAGACUGGGAUAACUUCGGGAAACCGGAGCUAAUACCGGAUAAUAUUUUGAACCGCAUGGUUCAAAAGUGAAAGACGGUCUUGCUGUCACUUAUAGAUGGAUCCGCGCUGCAUUAGCUAGUUGGUAAGGUAACGGCUUACCAAGGCAACGAUGCAUAGCCGACCUGAGAGGGUGAUCGGCCACACUGGAACUGAGACACGGUCCAGACUCCUACGGGAGGCAGCAGUAGGGAAUCUUCCGCAAUGGGCGAAAGCCUGACGGAGCAACGCCGCGUGAGUGAUGAAGGUCUUCGGAUCGUAAAACUCUGUUAUUAGGGAAGAACAUAUGUGUAAGUAACUGUGCACAUCUUGACGGUACCUAAUCAGAAAGCCACGGCUAACUACGUGCCAGCAGCCGCGGUAAUACGUAGGUGGCAAGCGUUAUCCGGAAUUAUUGGGCGUAAAGCGCGCGUAGGCGGUUUUUUAAGUCUGAUGUGAAAGCCCACGGCUCAACCGUGGAGGGUCAUUGGAAACUGGAAAACUUGAGUGCAGAAGAGGAAAGUGGAAUUCCAUGUGUAGCGGUGAAAUGCGCAGAGAUAUGGAGGAACACCAGUGGCGAAGGCGACUUUCUGGUCUGUAACUGACGCUGAUGUGCGAAAGCGUGGGGAUCAAACAGGAUUAGAUACCCUGGUAGUCCACGCCGUAAACGAUGAGUGCUAAGUGUUAGGGGGUUUCCGCCCCUUAGUGCUGCAGCUAACGCAUUAAGCACUCCGCCUGGGGAGUACGACCGCAAGGUUGAAACUCAAAGGAAUUGACGGGGACCCGCACAAGCGGUGGAGCAUGUGGUUUAAUUCGAAGCAACGCGAAGAACCUUACCAAAUCUUGACAUCCUCUGACAACUCUAGAGAUAGAGCCUUCCCCUUCGGGGGACAAAGUGACAGGUGGUGCAUGGUUGUCGUCAGCUCGUGUCGUGAGAUGUUGGGUUAAGUCCCGCAACGAGCGCAACCCUUAAGCUUAGUUGCCAUCAUUAAGUUGGGCACUCUAAGUUGACUGCCGGUGACAAACCGGAGGAAGGUGGGGAUGACGUCAAAUCAUCAUGCCCCUUAUGAUUUGGGCUACACACGUGCUACAAUGGACAAUACAAAGGGCAGCGAAACCGCGAGGUCAAGCAAAUCCCAUAAAGUUGUUCUCAGUUCGGAUUGUAGUCUGCAACUCGACUACAUGAAGCUGGAAUCGCUAGUAAUCGUAGAUCAGCAUGCUACGGUGAAUACGUUCCCGGGUCU
rnacentral:rRNA from 1 species